UACGUAGGGUGCGAGCGUUAAUCGGAAUUACUGGGCGUAAAGCGUGCGCAGGCGGUUUGUUAAGCCAGAUGUGAAAGCCCCGGGCUCAACCUGGGAACUGCGUUUGGUACUGGCAAGCUAGAGUACGGCAGAGGGGGGUGGAAUUCCACGUGUAGCAGUGAAAUGCGUAGAGGUGUGGAGGAACACCGAUGGCGAAGGCAGCCCCCUGGGCCGAUACUGACGCUCAGGCACGAAAGCGUGGGGAGCAAACAGG
rnacentral:rRNA from 1 species